CCGGUCGUCAACGUAACCUGACCAGAGGGAGCCGGUCGUCAACGUAACCUGACCAGAGGGAGCCGGUCGUCAACGUAACCUGACCAGAGGGAGCCGGUCGUCAACGUAACCUGACCAGAGGGAGCCGCCUUCCUCUCCUCUGAAGACCCAGUGAGGGUGGAGCUCAGUCAGAGAGCUGUUGAGGGACUGGUUAGGAAGAACACUUCUACAGCCAGAGAGGGGCAGUCAAGAAAUGGAACAGCAAGGCCACAGAACAUGACAUAAGCAGAGCUGUGGGACACCACCUCAAGCCCCUGGUAUAGCCGGGGGUGGUGUUCACCACUCCAGCAGGCUGGAAAAUUGCGAUUGAUACU